rnacentral:misc_RNA from 1 species
UGGUGAACCAGCGGAGGGAUCAUUACCGAGUUUACAACUCCCAAACCCCUGUGAACAUACCUGUUUUGUUGCUUCGGCGGUGCCCUCGCUCUCGUGGCGAGGCCCGCCAGAGGACCCAAACAAACUCUUUGAUUUUGAUCUAGGAUUUUACUUCUGAGUGAUAUACAAAAUAAAUCAAAACUUUCAACAACGGAUCUCUUGGUUCUGG